GGCGAAGGGGGCUAGCGUUGUUCGGAAUUACUGGGCGUAAAGCGCGUGUAGGCGGUUGUUCAAGUCAGGUGUGAAAGCCUUGAGCUCAACUCAAGAAAUGCACUUGAUACUGGAUGACUAGAGGACCGGAGAGGAUAGUGGAAUUCCCAGUGUAGUGGUGAAAUACGUAGAGAUUGGGAAGAACACCAGUGGCGAAGGCGGCUAUCUGGACGGUUUCUGACGCUAAGACGCGAAAGCGUGGGGAGCAAACAGG
rnacentral:rRNA from 1 species